UGAGUACGAGCUGCUACGGCAGCGAAGUGGGUGAUGUCAAGCUUCCAAGAAAAGCCCUAUACCCGUUAAGGCAUGAUGGCCUGUACCCGAAACCGACACAGGUGGGGUGGUAGAGAAUACCGAGGGGCGCGAGAUAACUCUCUCUAAGGAACUCGGCAAAAUGGCCCCGUAACUUCGGGAGAAGGGGUGCCACCGCAAGGUGGUCGCAGUGAAGAGGCCCAGGCGACUGUUUACCAAAAACACAGGUCUCCGCUAAGUCGCAAGACGAUGUAUGGGGGCUGACGCCUGCCCAGUGCCGGAAGGUUAAGGAAGCUGGUCAGCGUAAGCGAAGCUAGCGACUGAAGCCCCGGUGAACGGCGGCCGUAACUAUAACGGUCCUAAGGUAGCGAAAUUCCUUGUCGGGUAAGUUCCGACCCGCACGAAAGGCGUAACGAUCUGGGCGCUGUCUCGGAGAGAGGCUCGGCGAAAUAGAAUUGUCUGUGAAGAUGCGGACUACGUGCACCCGGACAGAAAGACCCUAUGAAGCUUUACUGUAGCUUGGUAUUGUGCCCGGGCUCUGAAUGCGCAGGAUAGGUGGGAGGCUUUGAUCCAUUGCUUGUGGGUGAUGGUGAGCCAACGGUGAGAUACCACUCUUUCAGAGCUAGGGUUCUAACGGUCACCCGUCAUCCGGGGACCGGACAGUAUCAGGUGGGCAGUUUGACUGGGGCGGUCGCCUCCUAAAAGGUAACGGAGGCGCGCAAAGGUUUGCUCAGGCUGGUUGGAAAUCAGCCGACGAGUGUAAAAGCAGAAGCAAGCUUGACUGUGAGACCUACAAGUCGAACAGGGACGAAAGUCGGCUUUAGUGAUCCGACGGUUCUGAGUGGAAGGGCCGUCGCUCAACGGAUAAAAGUUACUCUAAGGAUAACAGGCUGAUCCCCCCCAAGAGUUCUCAUCGACGGGGAGGUUUGGCACCUCGAUGUCGGCUCAUCGCAACCUGGGGCUGAAGUCGGUCCCAAGGGUUGGGCUGUUCGCCCAUUAAAGCGGUACGCGAGCUGGGUUCAGAACGUCGUGAGACAGUUCGGUCCAUAUCCGGUGCAUGCGCAGGAAUAUUGAGAGGAUUUCUCCCUAGUACGAGAGGACCGGGAGGAACGCACCUCUGGUGUGCCAGUUAUCGUGCCAACGGUAAACGCUGGGUAGCCAUGUGCGGAGAGGAUAACCGCUGAAAGCAUCUAAGUGGGAAGCCCACCUCAAGAUGAGUAUUCCCAUGGCGUUAGCCAGUAAGGUCACGGGCAGAACACCCGUUGAUAGGCUCUACGUGGAAGCCGGGUAACCGGUGAAGCGGAGGAGUACUAAUAGACCGAGGGC
rnacentral:rRNA from 1 species